UACGUAGGGUGCAAGCGUUAAUCGGAAUUACUGGGCGUAAAGCGUACGCAGGCGGCUUUGCAAGACAGGUGUGAAAUCCCCGGGCCUAACCUGGGAACUGCAUUUGUGACUGCAUGGCUAGAGUCUGUCAGAGGGGGGUGGAAUUCCACGUGUAGCAGUGAAAUGCGUAGAGAUGUGGAAGAACACCGAUGGCGAAGGCAAUCCCCUGGGCCUGCACUGACGCUCAUGCACGAAAGCGUGGGGAGCAAACAGG
rnacentral:rRNA from 1 species